GGAUAUUCACCGAAUACGGAUUCUGAUUCAAUGGAGCAUAAAGAAAACACACAGAGAUAUCUCAAAUUUUCCGCCAUCAAUAAUAAGUAGCCAAUCAUAAACAAGGAAAUCCAGAGCAAAGGCCAUAUGAGUUUAUCAGCAACCUUAAUGUUAUCAUAACCACAACAUCACAGAGGGAAGCUUCAAUUCAAGCUUUACAAUAUCAUUCUUACAAACUUAAAAUUGCUUUAACAUUCAAUUAUCACAGGCACAUAAGGCUUAAGAUAAAAAAACAUAAAUUCAUAAAUCUCGCAUAGUUCUAUGACCACAAGACCAAAUAACCAAAACCGUUCCCUAAUGGCAGAGCUAAAAGAAGAAGAAGAAGAAGAGCUUACCUUCCUCAAAGCAGUAGCGAGCUC